CAGCAUUUCAUCUCCGAGGAAGUUAUCCCAGAGAGAAGUAAAGCAAGUGUCUGAUUAACGUGAAGUGAAGCAGGACACAGUGAUGGAGGCCGACCCGGAGCCAGAGCCAGGAGGGGGCGGCUGGUCUUCUGGGUGGGGGUCGUUUCCGUGGAUUGUUUCAGAGCUGGGAGGAGGAGGAAUGAAAAAAUAAAGCACUGUACCAAUCAGAAUUAUUGUCUGAAGGCCAAGAAAAAUGCUCAACAGAUUUUAUUUCCCAAGUGUUCAUUUUGUGGGAUUUCUUUCACUACUCUGAGCCCACGCUGUGUGUUGCAGAUGUGACCAGCAGGGGGCAGCAGCUCCCUAAACUCUGCUUCUCUGACUGUAGCUUUGAGUUCUGGGGGAGGAUGAAGAUUUCUGCCUCCUCUGCUGUCCCAGCUCGUGUUUUUGCAGA